UACAGAGGCCUCAAGCGUUAGGCGGAAUCACUGGGCUUAAAGCGUGUGUAGGCGGACGCCUAAGUACCUUGUGAAAUCCCACGGCUCACCCGUGGAACGGCUGGGUAUACUGGGCGUCUUGGGCCAACUAGGGGCAACUGGAACAAGCGGUGGAGCGGUGAAAUGCGUAGAUAUCGCUUGGAACGCCAACGGUGAAAACAGGUUGCUGGGGUUGUGCCGACGCUGAG
rnacentral:rRNA from 1 species